UCAGAACGAUGCGUCAUGCAUAUCAAUAAGCGGAGGAAAAGAAACUAACAAGGAUUCCCUCAGUAACGGCGAGUGAAGCGGGAAGAGCUCAAAUUUGAAAUCUUCAAGGUUUUACCUUGACGAAUUGUAGUUUAAAGAAGUGUUUUCUGUUGAAGUUUUGGUAAAAGUUCUUUGGAAUAGGACAUCAUAGAGGGUGAGAAUCCCGUAUUUGACCAUUAUUUUCAGCUGUGUGAUACACUUUCAAAGAGUCGGAUUGUUUGGGAAUGCAGUCCAAAAUGGGUGGUAAAUUUCAUCUAAAGCUAAAUAUUGGCGAGAGACCGAUAGCGAACAAGUACCGUGAGGGAAAGAUGAAAAGAACUUUGAAAAGAGAGUUAAAUAGUACGUGAAAUUGUCAAAAGGGAAGCGUUUAACACCAGUGUUGUUUUCUGAAAAUCAACCUCUGUUAGCUUUAUGCAUGUUUGUUUAGACCUAAUCAGCUAUCUUGCAUGUUCUAUUGUUUGCAGUGGUGCACUUUUCAGUUUACAGGUCAACAUCAGUUUUUUUUACCGUAAAAAAGUUAAAGAAAGGUAGCUCAUGGCUCCGGUCGUGAGUGUUAUAGUCUUUUUCCUAUGCGGUAGGAGAGACUGAGGUCUGCAGUGUAGGCUAUUUGGCUAGAUACUCAGGUGCUAUGUGAUACCAUUUCAUAAACAACUUGUUGAUUAUGUUUUGUCUAUUGCAUACUCGCUUGUACUAUCAUACCUACGCUUAGGAUGUUGAUCUGUAGUGCGUGCGC
rnacentral:rRNA from 1 species